GAUGAACGCUGGCGGCGUGCCUAAUACAUGCAAGUCGAGCGAACGGACGAGAAGCUUGCUUCUCUAAUGUUAGCGGCGGACGGGUGAGUAACACGUGGAUAACCUACCUAUAAGACUGGGAUAACUUCGGGAAACCGUAGCUAAUACCGGAUAAUAUUUUGAACCGCAUGGUUCAAAAGUGAAAGACGGUCUUGCUGUCACUUAUAGAUGGAUCCGCGCUGCAUUAGCUAGUUGGUAAGGUAACGGCUUACCAAGGCAACGAUGCAUAGCCGACCUGAGAGGGUGAUCGGCCACACUGGAACUGAGACACGGUCCAGACUCCUACGAAAGGCAGCAGUAGGGAAUCUUCCGCAAUGGGCGAAAGCCUGACGGAGCAACGCCGCGUGAGUGAUGAAGGUCUUCGGAUCGUAAAACCCUGUUAUUAGGGAAGAACAUAUGUGUAAGUAACUGUGCACAUCUUGACGGUACCUAAUCAGAAAGCCACGGCUAACUACGUG
rnacentral:rRNA from 1 species